rnacentral:lncRNA from 1 species
CCCUACUAAUUUCCCACCAGAUUUUACAAUUUUUAUUGUGAAAAUACUGUAUCAUUUUGCUUCAAGGUUGGUGAUUCUCCACGCAGUUGAGUCAAAGGCAUGGACCUUUUAAGUCGCCUCUAUGUCGCGUCCACUUGGGUGAGAUUUCACAACCCAAUAUCAUCCUUAAUGAGGUUAUAAUUCUGCCCAAGAGUCUCUGGCAUUUGAUGGGCCUGCAGGCUCUGUCAUGUUCCAAUUUGAUCAGAUUAGGCUCUGCCUAUACAGCUUGGAGGCCCCCAAGGAACAUAGCCAU